AUUGAACGCCGGCGGCAUGCCUUACACAUGCAAGUCGAACGGCAGCACGGGAGCAAUCCUGGUGGCGAGUGGCGAACGGGUGAGUAAAGUAUCGGAACGUGCCCAGUCGUGGGGGAUAACGUAGCGAAAGUUACGCUAGUACCGCAUACGAUCUAUGGAUGAAAGCGGGGGAUCGCAAGACCUCGCGCGAUUGGAGCGGCCGAUAUCAGAUUAGGUAGUUGGUGAGGUAAAGGCUCACCAAGCCGACGAUCUGUAGCUGGUCUGAGAGGACGACCAGCCACACUGGGACUGAGACACGGCCCAGACUCCUACGGGAGGCAGCAGUGGGGAAUUUUGGACAAUGGGCGCAAGCCUGAUCCAGCAAUGCCGCGUGCAGGAUGAAGGCCUUCGGGUUGUAAACUGCUUUUGUACGGAACGAAACGGCGAGCUCUAAUACAGUUUGCUAAUGACGGUACCGUAAGAAUAAGCACCGGCUAACUACGUGCCAGCCGCCGCGGUAA
rnacentral:rRNA from 1 species